GACUUCGUAGUUGAGUGGCAAAAACAUUUGCCUCUCACCCUGGAGUCCCGGGUUCGAUCCCCGUCCGGGAGCU